CCAGGGGUUGGGCGUUCAGAUGAGUCAACUCCUUGGUGUCCUGUGUGUCACCGGGUUUCUGGUUAGAAGUAACUUGGCCAUUUCGGUCCAGGUUCCUUUAGCUAGGUCCUGGGGCUCCAUUACUCCUGGGGUUAGCCAUUGUACUUUGGAUAAGUUACAGCAAGUUCCGUGUUUUUCCCUCCUUCCUUUUUUUUUCUCAUUCCUUUUUUUUCUCUCUCUCUGCCUGGUAAUUUUGGCACAUGGUGAGUAAUGGGAA